rnacentral:rRNA from 1 species
ACGCCCUAAACGAUGUCUACUAGUUGUCGGGUCUUAAUUGACUUGGUAACGCAGCUAACGCGUGAAGUAGACCGCCUGGGGAGUACGGUCGCAAGAUUAAAACUCAAAGGAAUUGACGGGGACCCGCACAAGCGGUGGAUGAUGUGGAUUAAUUCGAUGCAACGCGAAAAACCUUACCUACCCUUGACAUGGCUGGAAUCCUUGAGAGAUCAGGGAGUGCUCGAAAGAGAACCAGUACACAGGUGCUGCAUGGCUGUCGUCAGCUCGUGUCGUGAGAUGUUGGGUUAAGUCCCGCAACGAGCGCAACCCUUGUCAUUAGUUGCUACGAAAGGGCACUCUAAUGAGACUGCCGGUGACAAACCGGAGGAAGGUGGGGAUGACGUCAAGUCCUCAUGGCCCUUAUGGGUAGGGCUUCACACGUCAUACAAUGGUACAUACAGAGCGCCGCCAACCCGCGAGGGGGAGCUAAUCGCAGAAAGUGUAUCGUAGUCCGGAUUGUAGUCUGCAACUCGACUGCAUGAAGUUGGAAUCGCUAGUAAUCGCGGAUCAGCAUGUCGCGGUGAAUACGUUCCCGGGUCUUGUACACACCGCCCGUCACACCAUGGGAGCGGGUUUUACCAGAAGUAGGUAGCUUAACCGCAAGGAGGGCGCUUUCCACGGUAGGAUUCGUGACUGGGGUGAAGUCGUAACAAGGUAGCCGU